UUCUUUAUCCUUCCUUUCCAGAAUACUGAACAAAUGAAAAGGGAUUGUUGUGUUUUCAGGAUGAAGUUAUCCCUUAAACAAAAUAUAACAUGGUAUACACUUGUCAUAAUAAUAUGUAUAUGAAAAUGUUUAUAAGAAAGCUUUUAAGAACUUUUGUGGGCAAAAUUAAUGGUGUUAGAAUGUCUACAACAAUUGGUAAACUUGUGGACUUUGGGGUUUAGAUUGAGGAGAUUACAAAGAAAUGCAUCUGUUUGGGAGAUACCUUCCUUAAUUCCUGACCAGCAACCCAAACGGUGUUUUAAUACAUCUGCUGGGGUACAGGGUGGUUCUUGUAUAGCACACUCUUACUCCUAGAGACUGCUGGUCAUAGUUGAAUUCACAAAACAAUCCCAUAAUUGUAAUGGUGAAACACUUUGUCAGAUGCCCCAACAAAAUCUUAAUCUCAAAUAAGAAAUGGAAAAGUUAUUGUCAUAAACCGUGAUCACAAUUCCUUGUUAGAAAAGACAUUACAAUUAAACUUCUUUUUCUGUUUCAAGGCUAUAGAAAUGUAAGUGAGGCUUUGUAAAUGAUGUUAUGGUUCAGAAGGUGCAGCAGUGUGUUGUGCAGUGUCAUCUCAUCAGCAGUGAACAAUCUGUAGAUCACCAUAGGCUUGCAAUUGAAAAAAAGAGACAGCAUUCUAACAUCUAACACAGAGAUUUGAAUUUCAGUUUAUAAAAGCCAUUUGACAAGACUGGAAUCACAGUUUUGCUGUUGGUGAACUCAUCCUUUUCUUGAUGAUGUGUUUCCAAGCAAACAUUGAAAAUGCAACAGCUAACAGUUGUAUCUCAUUAGUAAAGUGACCUAUUGCAUCAUUAUUAAAUUACUGCCUCUAUCUUUGUCAGAAUUAUAUUUUGUCGUUAAAGUGAUGGUCUAAGGGCAAAAGACUGCUCAUGGAUUGGAAUUAAGAGAUAAUAUGCUUUAUUAAAUGAUGUGUGUGGUAUGUACUUCAAGGCACUCAAGCCCUUCUUCAGUAUGAGCGCCCAAAAGCUUUCCCAAUUUUUCUACAAUAUCAGUUUGACAUCAUCUACCAGCAAAACACAUUCUGCUCUGCUAGAGUUGGCGUAGGUUUAUCAGGACUCAGAGUGAGCCUUGGUUUCUAGGAGAGCUGUCAGCUGACACACUGCUCUGGGUCUUUUCUCUGCUCUGGGGAAAAUGAUGUACUCAAAGUGUCAUAACCAUCUGUGCAUUGCAAUCCACCCAACGUGUUACUGGAGCUUCUUUUUUUCAGCUGAGAUUGCUUCCUUCCAAGACGCUGGGAGACUACCACUGGGGAACAGCGGUGGAUCUUCUCCAACCUGGAAAUCAAAGUACACAGUUUUGUGCGUGAAAGUAGAGAACUCGUUGCUGAAGCAGAAUUUGUAUGUUCCGUUCCUGGAUGCAGUAAAUGUGAAGCUAUCAUAUUGUUUCUUCAUCUCUUUGUACAAUACAAUGCCAUCAGGAUCUUCCAAUCGACAGUCAACAUCGUAAUGGCCUCCAGUGAUCACCUGAAAACAAAAAACAAAGAAUUGUCUUUUUAACAAAACAGACAUUUAAUACAUUUCUUCCCAGAAAUACGAUUUGUCAAAUGGUACCGCAAAGUUUCUAACUCUGACAAGUAUAUUUUGGAACAGAAUACAUUAAUUUGAAAAUUGUUCGAAGCCAGUCUGCAAAAACCAUCCUCUUAUGGAAGAGGACACAGAAAAUAACAGAAAAAACUUUCAAGAUAUGAAAUGUCAACUACAUUUUCAAAGUUUAUAAAAGAAAUUUUAGUUACUUUCUUAUAGCUAAUUGCGCUAUAGCAAAGGCUAGAUAGAUAAAACUUGAUGGAGCAGCAAAGACAGUAAUGUAGCAAAUCACCAUUAACUAAAUCCACAACCUCUCCAUGGAAUCAAUUCUGCAAGUUGAGAUUGUUAAAAUGUGAUAAGACAGCUCCUUUCUGUAUGGCCUAAGGAGCAUAACUACCCUAUUAGGUCAAGCUGCUUGGCGCCACAGGAAUGGCAUAUGACCAGUAAAACAGGUAUUACAACAGGGCUAGUGCUUCCACCAGCUUGUCAGAGAAGUAGCAUUACUGAGGGGUCUGAUGCAUAGCUCCUGCACAGUUGGCAGCAGCACUUCUCUUCAAAACCAGCACAUUGAGACAACUCCUAUGAGUGGCUCCAAACUACAUGACUCACUUUCAGGGUUUGGUUACUGUUGACAUUACUCUCUAGAAGCAGACAAGAUAUCCCUGCCUCUGUAACAAGACCCACUGGUUGUUCAUAUACUUAAAAUUUGCUACAUUCAUGACUCUCAGGAUAGCAGUUUUAAGCUUAAUAUUAACUUCAGCUCUCUUCCUUGUGAGAUAAAGCAUGCUGAAUGAGGAAAAUACUUGUAUCUGAAGGCAUGUCCCUUUUGUAUUUGUACAGAAACCCCCCAAAGUAAGAGAAGUUUUACUGAAUUGAGUAUAUUUUACAUAUCUGUUUGUGUAUCUUCGCUUUAGAUGUGCAGUUCACAUAAUAUUGCUUAAAACCACAGCAAUUUUUCUAUCUAUCAAGUUAUUAGAACCAUAAAGUUGAUGGUAAAGCAGAAAUAGCAAAAGAGUUGAAAACUAUCUGCUCCACAGACAGCAAAUUUUAAAAACAUUCAGCUGGCAAGUGAGAUCUUCCUGAUUUUCCAAAAACAUGAUAACAAAUUAAAAAAAAAAAAAAA